rnacentral:rRNA from 1 species
CGUGCAGCCGGGCAGACAAGUCAGAUGUGAAAUCCCGCGGCUUAACCGCGGAACUGCAUUUGAAACUGUCGGUCUUGAGUACCGGAGAGGUCAUCGGAAUUCCUUGUGUAGCGGUGAAAUGCGUAGAUAUAAGGAAGAACACCAGUGGCGAAGGCGGAUGACUGGACGGCAACUGACGGUGAGGCGCGAAAGCGUGGGGAGCAAACAGGAUUAGAUACCCCCGUA